UUUAUAAACCAAUAAUCUCACAAUGAAAAUUUAAAAGAAAAGUGCAGAAUAGUUACACAAGCCCGACAUCGGGGUAUCACUAGACCUGAGCAUCUACCAAGGUCUGAAUACAACAAGAGUCUAAAAAUGGACUAAGUACAGUAAUGAAAAAUGAGAGGAAGGAAAGCAGUGCUACGAACGUCGUGCAGCUACCUUGCUAACUCCGACGACUCCGCCUCUGAGUAAUCAACACCCGCUAACGGGUUCCGAAAUACCUGAAUCUGCACACGAGGUGCAAGGAGUAAUGUGAGUACUCCAACCAAGCAGUAAUAAGAGUAAAUAAAGACUGAGCAAUAGGAAACAAUGAAUCCACAUUUAUGAUAAACUCAAUAAGCACAACAGGAUUUCAAAUCAGAAUACGAGUCAAUCGUCUCAUUUAAAAUCCAGCUUUUGGUAAAAAUCAUUUGAAAAUGCUUUAUAACAGUUUCAGUAGGGGUUCAAUACCGUAAAAAAGAUGAAAACUAUAAUCGGCCCCUCGGGCAAAACAUAGUUCGUAUACAACCCCUCGGGCAAAACAGGAAUCACAAACACCUCAUAACAUAAAAAUCUCAUUGGAAAUAACAAAGCCAAAUCAGUGAUCGAAUUCCGAACAUCUCAUAAAAACUCCAGCUUAAAUGAAAGUAUUAAAAGCAUUGUUCAACAUUUUCAACAGAGGCUCAGUAUAAAGAGGAGUGGAAACAGCAAUUACAUAAAAACUAGCCCCUCGGGCAAAGCAUCACCCAUAUAUGUAUACAUCCCCUCGGGCAAGCAUCUCAGUCAAUCAUGACUCAACUCUUACCGGUCAGCACUCACGCUCAGAACUUACACUCAAUAGGUACCAUAUAGUAACACUGCGACGUGCAGCCCGAUUCAUAUAUCUAGUCGACUACGCUCACUAGGGGUGUGCAGACUCCGGAAGGGCUCCUACAGCCCAAGCGCUAUAUCGUUGCGGCGUUUAGCCCGAUACAUAAAUAUAUAUAUAUAUAUAUAUAUAUAGCCACAAUCAGUACAUAACUAUUAAAAUAUGCUAAGGGAACAAAGCCCACUCGAAAAUAUCCAAUUUACAUCAAAAAUCCCGAAAUUGCUCAAACCCGGCCCCGAGCCCACGUCUCGGAAUCCGAUAAAAGUAACAUCAAUAGAAUCCUCAUCCUCUCACAAGUCUAUACAUACCAAGAACAUCAAAAUCGGACCUCAAAUGGUCUCUCAAAUCCCAAAUUCUAGGUCUCAAAUUACAAGCCCUAGUUCUUCAAUACUAGGCUUAAAUUCCAUGAUUAAUUAGGUAGAUUUCACAUAAGAAACGAGUAUAAAGUCCAUAAAUCUUACCUCCAAGUGAUUCCCCUUGAAUCCCUCUUCAAUACUCUUCAAAAAGCUCCAAAAACGACCAAAAAUGGUGGAAAUAAACCCCAAAAUCACGGACAAGACGACUAUUUAAACAUUCUGCCCAGGCCUGAAAUCCUUCUUCACGAACGCGGUCAAAGCCUCGCGUUCGCGAAGCACAAAAGUACUUUAACCAGAAUUUCCUCUUCGUGAUCACGACUUGCCCAUCGCGAACGCGAUGCUUCCUCAGACUAAACAUUCGCGAUCGCGUUACACCACCCGCGAACGCGAUGAAUAAAAAUGCCUCAAGUCCAGCUGACCAAAUUUCUCUACGCGAACGCGAUGACCAAACAUCCAGCCCUUCGCAAAUGCGUAGCCUUCCUCGCGAAUGCGAAGGCUUAACUCCCAGCCUUCACCAACUAACCCUUUGCGAACGCGAGGGCCUACUCGCAAACGCGAAGGCCAUUUCUCUGCAACACUGAUCAGCAAUUUUCUGCAAUUCCAAACAACAUGCAAUGGUCCGAUUGACCACCCGAAACUCACCCGAGGUCCUCGGUACCUCAAUUAAACAUGCCAAUAUAUCCCAUAACCUCAUUCAAACUUGUUCCAACCUUCGGAACGCUCAAAGCAUCAUCAAAACACCAAAAUCGCAUCGGAUUCAAGCCUAAGAAUUCCAAGAACUUCCAAAUUACGCUUUUGAUCAAAAACCCAACCAAACCACGUCCGAAUGACCUGAAAUUUUGCACACACAUCACAAAUGACAAAACGGAGCUACUGCAACUUCCGGAAUUCCAUUCCGACCCCUAUAUCAAAAUCUCACAUAUCAACCGGAAAACGCCAAAAUUUCAAUUUCGCCAAUUCAAGCCUAAACCUUCCAUGGACUUUUAAAAUGCAUUCUAAUCCUGCUCCUAAGUCCCAAAUCACCUAACGGAACUAACCAAAUCAUAAAAAUUNNNNNNNNNNNNNNNNNNNNNNNNNAUUUACAUAAGUCAUAAUCCAUCACACGGGGCAAGUCAUGCCUGAGAACUGACAAGCAAGGUGCAAAAUCUCAAAACAACCGGUCAGGUCGUUACAUCCUCCCCUACUUAAACAUACGUUCGUCCUCGAACGUGCCCAGAGUUGUUCCAAAAGCCAAGCAAUCACUGAAUAACCUUACCAUGCACAUACCCGGGGGUGAUCCCACGUCACCCUAUCUCGUAUAGGUCCGAUAACACAAUGUAACUAAAAUUUCACAGUCCAACCUAGCCCAUGAACCUUAGAACCACAUUUCCACUUCUGAAAUCAUCCACAAGAUCAAAAUCUCACAUCUAUACUCUAACUAAGCCCGAACAAGCUUUAAUAACCCAUACCCGCAACCUCGGUGCAAUUACAUGAUAUACCACAUAACUCAAAUGCUUGCAGCGAUAACUUCUAAUCACAGCAGCUGCACACAACCACCGAAUAUCGAUAGAAAACCUCUUAUCAACUAAAGUCUCAUUCCAACACUUUCAUAAAUUGUCAAUGAUAAAUGAAACACGCAGUAAGACAUAACCGUUUUCUCAGAUCAACAAGGUAAAAACCCACUUCUCCUUUGGCAAAUACCAUCGCAAAUUUCUGCGCCGAACCUCGAUGUUAUCCUUCCAACAUGCUGAAAUUAAAUCCGUUUGUAGUCAUUAAAGAUCCCGACGAUCUCAUCUAAUCCAACAAAACUACUCUGGUGACAUUGACAUAUCAAUACAGACUAAAGCCACAACUUGUGCAAUCUAUGCACCAAUAAGUCACAAUCCGAACUUACUCAAAUCAUGAAAAGGACUCAAAUGAAAGAGUUGUACCGCAAGCUCACUAGUACCACCACAACACAAGGCUGAGAACCCGCCAUACAUUGUAGAAACAGAAUACACGAAUCUAACCCCGCAGGAUCAUACUUCCACAUAGCUUUGCUCCAAUGCGCGACCUCAUCAAAACACUGGUCCACAUGAGACACCUUAAGUUACUAUGCUCAAAAGCGAAAAUCGUGCACAAUAUGAUGUCUACAACUAAAGCAAUCAUCAUAACCACCGCAAGGAAAUUACAUAAAACCACACAACUCAAAAGGACAUAACCGAUACGCCAUCCACCGAGCGAUACCCAGUGCUCUUCCCCCUCGAAUUCCACUGAGAGGCCCUAAUAACACCGCACCACAUUCCAACAAAUCAUAACGUCUCGUAACACAGAAAAGUAAUUCAUAAAUCCCCCUGAUUACUAAUAGCUCCAUAAUAACCGAAUCAACAUACCCCUCACCAAUGGCAACUCGAAGUCAACAAAGCCGUUUCGAUGCAAAACACGCAUCCAUAUAGGUCUACCAAUGAACCACACAUCAACUCUAGUCACACACAUCAGAUAAAUAAUCCUUCGAAGGUUCACAAUGACUGAAUCAUAGCACACACUAUCAUCUGACUAACUUACCGACAUCUUUACCGUCCACAACCACGAGCUAACCUAUUUAUGAGAACUUUUAGUCUCGCAGUCCGUAAAGCAUACGAAUUACCAUAUCUGAACCCAAUUUCGCCGCUCGAAUAUACAACAUACCUCUAAUACUCAAUCAUUCCACGAGAGGUACACCUAUAAUUCUUCUAUGCCACCUAGCCAACUUGAAUACCAUCAGAUAAGAUAGUGCCGAAAUGCCAAUAAAGCAUCCAUAACUCAAACACAUCGCCCUUUCUGAAAUGUAUACCCUCAUCAAGCCACACCAAUCAGUAAUCUCAUUUAUCUAGUCACCUGAAGCUACCCAUGCUAUCUAAGAAUUUGUGACCUUCCUUUCAAAUCUGAAUCGUGUCCUUACACAUGCAAAUUUCAAUCCUACACAACAUACCGCAUAAACCGUACCAUCCUAGGAUAACCACGGGAACUUCAUAUCCCUUCCGAUCCACAAAUAACUAUGUACUCCACUAGCCAAGAACUUCCCAUUGAUCCCAUCUAGAAGAAAAUAACUAUACAUCCCAUGCUCCUCACGCCAAUAGGAAAAAUAUACCCCUCUAGCUGUGGUGGAAACCAUCUAGGACUCUACGGAUUCCAUUUGCACAACUCUAAAUCAUCAGGAGUGAGUCCUUCUAACUCAACCGAGCUACGCAGGUCACUAAAACCCAAAAGAAUUGUCGCGUAACACAUGUAGAACUCAUUAUCUCGUAAGCAUCCAAGAACUAAUCAUAUCCUUACCAUACCGACUCGGCCUACUACCAAGCUAUCCCAUCUAUCUGAGUUCCUUUCUGAUUUACCUUCAACUUGAUACUCCUUCUUGCUAUAACAUUACAAUUCCUCAACCCAGACUUACCACACGAGACCCAAGCAUAAAUCCACACUGUCUUACGGUCCAUAAGCCGCUGAAUACUCUCUAGAUAUUCCCAACAGCACCACGUUCAAAAUGCUUACCCUGAAGAGACUUCCUAUGAAUCCAAAGCCAUUACUUUAACCUCCCUGAUACUGAUAUAUAAAAUCCCAUAAUUAAUAUAGAAAAUACCAUAAGUCUUGACAUCUUCCAAUGAAAACUCAGUUUCUAGCCACAUAAACAACUUCAAAAUACCCAAUUGUUACAUGUAAAAGCUUGAACACAUUAGAACCAUUCUCGAGAAUCAUUCACUCUAUUCAAACUGCAAUUAGCCUGAUCAAAUGAACACAACCACCCGUGCCUCAAUAGCACUCCAACACCGCAGAGUGUAACCUCAUCCUAGAACAACCAAGCANNNNNNNNNNNNNNNNNNNNNNNNNGCGUGCCUCAAACUGGAACCAACAUAGCACAUAACCGUGCAAUCAACUAGUCAAUAGCGAACUCCCCCACUUGGCUCGAAGCCAUUGACCAAAACACACACAAUAACUCGUAACGCAUAUACUCUAUUGCUGCCAUAAUACCAUAGGGAGAUUUAAACUCAAUCCUUCAUAAGCGCGUGAAACACAAACCAUCUGGUACUUUAAAUCUUCUGCAAAUCUCGCAUUCAUCCUCGCAACAGUCAAGACCAAUCUCUUAAGCGGCCCAAAUUCAAAUUUCAACACUUAUAUUUCACUUCUAAAUGAGAUCUUCUAACAGACAACAUGAGGAUCACAAAACCUCAGAACACUCAACAGGAGAUAACCCACCUGCUUUACCUCCAACUAACAUUCCCGUAUACCUUCCACUGUCAUAAACAUUAUGCAGUCGCUUAAUCUUCCUCAGUCUGAACUCAUACCGCAACAUGAAAUUUACUUUACUCCCAACCAGGAAACAUGAAAAGAUUCUUCACAUGCCCAUAACUUGGGGCUAAACCUUGAAUCAAGAUGGAAAUGAAGCACCUAAUAGUUAUUCUAUCCUUCAGCAGAUCCUUCUCAUCGCUUCCAAAUCAUAUGAAUACAUAUUGUAGUCACAUCACACUCAUCACGUAACUAUCUAGUCAUUACUUCUACCAAUAGGGCACUACCAAACAUAUAAGUUCAAAAACAGUUGCUCACACAAUCAGCACCUCGAUGCUCAAGCUAUAGGAAAAAUUCAGCCUCGAGUCCUCCAAACUAGCCCAACAUCAACACACAGAGAUCACAUCUCGCCCCUCGAUCAGGGAAUCAUAAGCCAUCGAUGCACAUCCGAUACCGAGCGCUCAUACCGAGGAUAAAUACAGACGUCUCCAUACCGAUCCGCGAGACUCUACUAAACCUGCUCAUGACUCGUGAGACCUAUGUAACCUAGGCUCUGAUACCAACUUGUCAUGACCCAAAACUGACUCGGUCGUGAUGGCGCCUAUUGUGAAACUAGGCCAGCCAACACAACCCUCGAAUCAACCAUUUUCCAAUAAAAGUUAUUUUUUAUACCAUUUUUAUACCAAUAAUCUCAUAAUGAAAAUUUAAAAAAAAAGUGCAAAAUAGUUACACAAGCCCGACAUCGGGGUAUCACUAGUCAUGAGCAUCUACCUAGGUCUGAAUACAACAAGAGUCUAAAAAUGGACUAAGUACAGUAAUGAAAAAUGAGAGGAAGGAAAGCAGUAUUGUGAACGUCGUGCAGCCACCUUGCUAACCCCGACGACUCCGCCUCUAAGCAAUCAACACCAGCUACCGGGUUCCAAAAUACCUGAAUCCGCACACGAGGUGCAUGGAGUAAUGUGAGUACCCCAACCCAGUAAGUAAUAAGAGAAAAUAAAGAUUGAGCAGUAGAAAACAAUGAAUCCACAUUUAUGUUAAACUCAAUAAGCACAACAGGCUUUCAAAUCAGAAUACGAGUUAAUCGUCUCAUUUAAAAUCCAGCUUUUAAUAAAAAUCAUUUGAAAAUGCUUUCCAACAGUUUCAGUAGGGUUCAAUACUGUUUAUAAUAAAAAGAUAAAAACCAUAAUCGGCCCCUCGGGCAAAAUAGGAAUCAUAAACACCUCAUGAUAUAAAAAUCUCAGUAGAAAUAACAAAGCCAAAUCAGCGAUCGAAUUCCGAACAUCUCAUAAAAACUCCAGCUUAUAUGAAAGUUGUUUAAAAGCAUUGUUCAAUAUUUUCAACAGAGGCUCAAUAUAAAGAGGAGGGGAAACAUCAAUUACAUAAAAACAAGCCCAUCGGACAAAGAAUCACUCAUAUAUGUAUACAGCCCCUCGGGCAAGCCUCUCAGUCACUCAUGACUCAACUCUUAUCGGUCAGCGCUCACACUCAGCACUCACACUCAAUAGGUACCAUAUAGUAACCGCUGCGGCGUGCAGCCCGAUCCAUAUAUCGGCCUCUCUCAGUCAUUAACCUCACCAUCAUACCCUCGGUCUAUCUCAGUUAUUAACCUCACAAUCAGACCCUCGGUCUAUCUCAGUUAAUACCCUCACAAUCAGACCCUCGGUCUAUCUCAGUCAUCAACCUCACAAUCACUCGGACCAUUAGUAAAACAGGGAACUCAGUCCAAUCAGUUCUCACAUUUUAAGAAUUAAAGUGAUAAAACCAGGUAUAAACAAUAAACAGGUAAAUCAUGACUGAGGAUAUGCUUUCAAAACAAAUAGAGUGAGGAAAAAUAGUAAAAAUGUCCCUAAGGGUCUCAACAGGUCAGCACAAGGCCCCAGACAUGGCAUACAACCCAAAAUAUAAUAUCAAUCUCUAAAAUAUGGAAUAUCAUAAGAUUUCAAAUCACAUACGCGACUUAACAUUAGUACAGGACGGACCAAUUCACAAUCCCCAACAGUGCACGAUUCCAAACUCUUCAUCUAUAAUGUGUGUCACCUCAUGCAACACAACGAUGUGAAAUUCAGGGUUUCAAACCCUCAGGACAACAUUUACAAUCAUUACUUACCUCGAUCCGGUCCAAACUCUAGCCCGCGAUGCCUUUUCCCUCACUAAUCGACCUCCGUAUGCUCCAAAUCUAGUCACAAUCAAUACAUAACUAUUAAAAUAUACUAAGGGAACAAAUCCCACUCAAAAAUAUCCAAUUUACAUCAAAAAUCCUGAAAUGGCUCAAACCCGGCCUCUGGGACCAUGUCUCGGAAUCUGAUAAAAGUCACAUCAAUAGAAUACUCAUCCUCUCACGAGUCUAUACAUACCAAGAACAUCAAAAUCGGACCUCAAAUGGCCCCUCAAAUCCCAAAUUCCAGGUCUCCAAUUACAAGCCCUAGUUCUUCAAUACUAAGCUUAAAUUCCAUGAUUAAUUAGGUAGAAUUUACAUAAGAAAUGAGUAUAAAGUCCAUAAAUCUUACCUCCAAGUGAUUCUCCUUAAAUCCCUCUUCAAUCCUCUUCAAAAGGUUCCAAAAACGACCAAAAAUGGUGGAAAUAAAACCCCAAAAUUGCGGACAAGACGACUAUUUAAACAUUCUGCCCAGGCCUGAAAUCCUUCUUCGCGAAUGCGGUCAAAGCCUCGCGUUCGCGAAGCACAAAAUUACUUUGACCAAAAUUUCCUCUUCGCGAUUGUGAAAUGCCCAUCGCGAGCGCGAUGCUUCCUCAGACUAAACCUUCAUGAUCGCAUUACACCACUCGCGAACGCGAUGAAUAAAAAUGCCUCAAGUCCAGCUGACCAAAUUUCUCUACGCGAACGCGGUCACUCUACAAGAACGCGAUGACCAAACAUCCAGCCCUUCGCAAACGCGUAGCCUUCCUCGUGAACGUGAAGGCUUAACUCCCAGCCUUCACCAACUAACCCUUCGCGAACGCGAGGGCCUACUCGCGAACGCGAAGGCCAUUUCUCUGCAACACUGAUCAACAAUUUUCUACAAUUCCAAACAAUAUGCAAUGGUCCGAUUGACCACCCGAAACUCACCCGAGGCCCUCGGGAUCUCAACCAAAUAUGUCAUCAUAUCCCAUAACCUCAUUCAAACUUGUUCCAACCUUUAUAACGCUCAAAGCAAUAUCAAAACACCAAAAUCACAUCGGAUUCAAGCCGAAGAAUUCCAAGAACUUCCAAAUUACGCAAAACCCAACCAAACCACGUCCGAAUGACCUGAAAUUUUUCACACACAUCACAAAUGACACAACGGAGCUACUGCAACUUCCGGAAUUCCAUUCCGACCCCUAUAUCAAAAUCUCUCCUAUCAACCGGAAAACGCCAAAAUUUCAAUUUCGCCAAUUCAAGCCUAAACCUUCUACGGACUUCCAAAAUGCAUUCCGAUCACGCUCCUAAGUCCCAAAUUACCUAACAGAGAUAACCAAAUCAUAAAAAUUCCGAUCCGAGAUCAUAUACCAACAAGUCAAAUCUUAGUCAAACUUUUCAAAUUUCAAGCUUCAAACUGAGAACUGUUCUUCCAAAUUCAUUCUGAUUACCCUGAAAACCAAAACCAACGAUUUACAUAAGUCAUAAUCUAUCACACGGGGCAAGUCAUGCCCGAGAACUGGCGAUCAAGGUGCAAUAGCUCAAAACGACCGGUCGGGUCGUUACAAAUUUGACUGUUGAUGAUGGCUUUUUUUCAAAUCACACUACUAAGAUCAUUGAAUGUUGAAUUCAUUGUUUGGAAGAGACAAAGUUAACAAUUGCCUAAGGCUUAACUAGAGUUAAACAUUCACAUUCCAAUUACCGAAUGUGGUUCAAGAUUUGCACCAGACAAAUUAAGGUAAAAUCUUGAUCACAAUAGCAAUACAGGAUUUCAUAUGCAAUAACAUCUGUUAUUUUUGCAAAGGGGACAAGAAUAGAAAGAUGAAUGCAGCUAAACAUAAACAACAAAAGCCAAAGUUGCCAACUUAAAUGAAGGACAACCUGAGAUUGACGUCAGUGCUAAAAUAAUUAACAAGAUAAUGAAUUGUCAUACCGGUAGUAUCCCAGAGACCCAAAUUCACAAUCUUCCUAUCUCAAUAAGCAGACAUGACUAUUUUCCUUAUAGAUUAUAAUAUUUUACCAAUUUAGCACAUGAAACAACACCUACUACACAUGAUUUCACUUUCAGAAAAAUGGAAACACACAUCUAUCUCAAAUGUUCAACAAUCAAACCAACCAGUUAUUGUUAGGCAAAUUUCCUUUAUUCUUUUAGAUGUGAACAAAAUGAGGAAACAUUUAGAGUUAUAUGAAGGUAUUAUUCAAUUUCUUGUAUUGAUAAGGUUCUAUAUCACUUCAAUCAACUGAACUAAAAUAAAAAUCGACAAAUCCGUACCGUGAACGAACAGAAAACAUCAAAAAACAAUUCCACCAUAUAUACACAAAUAAAUUUCAGCAAAUUUAUAGCACAUGGAGGUCCAAACAGCCAUUACAUUUCGAGAUUGAGAUAAAUACCUCUAAACGGCAGUAGAGAUAAACUUGAAUAACCAAAUAAAGGCGACGGGAAAGCUAGAGCUCAGCGAAAGUAGAAACAACAAAACACAUCUUCAACUUCUAAAAUCAAAAUCAAAACUCAAACACCCAGAAUUGGAGAGAUAAAGCAACAAAAAUCAGCAAAGCCUUCGAAACUCCAUGUUCUCUCGAUUUUCUUCUAGUUUUGAAACCUCUUUUCUCAUUUUCAGCUUUCAAAAUCUUUCAGAACUUCCAAUUUCUUGUUUUUUUUUGUUUGUUGCUAAAUGCUUUUGUGUGUGUGUAUUUUUUAUAUGUGCAGGGAAGUGAAAUGGAUGGCUGACUGAGAAGUCGAUGUACUAGGACCUAUGGCUGGGGAUUUUUGUUUUCAGGAAGGGGGAAGCCUGCUCAUUAUUUCUGAUCAGCGAGAGAGGGGAGUCCAUUCUUUUAGGGUAGUAAUGGCGUUGGUCCUCUUUUUGUUUUAAGGGGAUCUGAUC
rnacentral:lncRNA from 1 species